CUUAUUACUGACUUACGUCAGUCGUCUUGCGACGUCAGAAGCGGAUCUCGAACGCAGGAGGGAGAGAAAUUAGGAGGAAAUAGACGCGCGAAUAGUUCUUGGAAAUUGCGUCAACGUUUUAACAAAGUCAUUCAUGGCGAUAACUUUGUUCCAUUUAUUAUAUAUAUUCGAUACAUCGUGUAAAUAUCAGAAAACGAGUAAAUUGUGAAACGCGAAGCAAAAUUAAAAAUAGAUUCCUCUCGCUUUUUUGUACUAUUUUAGCAGCACUGCUAAAAGAUUACACAUUUGGUUUUUAUACACAUUUAAAUAUAUAUGUAUAAGACUUUGAGAAAAACAAGGUACACUAAUUUUGACAAACUCUUUUAUUAUUAUUUUAUUUUAUUAUUUUGUUUGAGUUAUCUUCAAGUUUAUCUCUUUUUAGAAAAUCUAAUUUUGCUUCUUAAUCAUCAUCACACAUGUUACGCUUCAUCUAAAUUUUGAAAAUUUGAAUUUUGUGCUUGCACUUGGUUUCUUUAUCAGUCGAAACUGCUGUUGGCAAAGUUUUCUUGAGACAAAAAUACGGUCUAAUAAUCAUCCAUUAUAAUAUAUAUCCUGUAUCUUUGAUAAAAAAGAUAGUAAGCAAUCGAAUAAUUGAAAAUUAAUUAUUUAAUAUGUUUAAUUUAACAAAAUGACAAUAUAUUUUAUAAUUUUGUAGUUUCUCCAUGGAAAAUGAUCAAGGGCCAUGCAAUUGUGAGGCCGGAAAGUGGCGUCAUCUUGUUGAGCGGCAGUCGGCAAACUAGAGCGAGGCAAUCCGUCUGGUGAUGUGACAAUAAACAGAUGGCAAGCUGUCAGGUGCGAGCUUUAAAGUUAUUCUGCAAUAAAAGGUCUACAAAAAAAUAGGGAGGAGAAACGUCUUCUGAGACUUUCCUAAGCACCUGCACAGUACUUUGAAAUGUCGAAAAUCCAAAUAAGCAAAAGUUUAACGCGGUCGUAAAAUUCGAAGAGUUGCUUAUUCAAAGAUGUUACGACGCGCGAGGGAACGGAGUUGUGAAUAAUUCAGCGAUGCGACGACGAAUCGACGACGAUGACGACGAUUCACAAACAUAUGCUGGAGUCAAAGGACAAAGAUUGCGCCGCGCGCGAUUGUCCGAGGGAUGCCGUACAGUGUGCGCUAAUGAAGCAGCAAGUCUUUGUGCUGCUUUUAUUCUCUUACGUCAUCAAAUCCAGCGGCGACGGCGGCACGACCUGGCUGUGUUCUCAGCGCGUAGGACGGCUUGGUUCUUAGCUUGCGCAAGGCGCAAUCAAAGACCGACCUCUCGCGGACCAUCCUGGAAGCAAGCCAGAUAAUGUGUUUUUCCUCUGACUUUAGGCAUUUCAAGCAACGCAAAAUAUAUGCAGGAUUAUUCAAUUAUCUUGGAGCGCAUUUUCAAGCGUAAGAAAACGCACUGCAACUCGCAUGCUGUAUUCUUUGCUCGCUCACGAGCUGUUUCGCAGCGACCAAGGCGAACUUCUUCGUUCUCCAACUAGUCAUCGCCGCCGCCACUCAGUCGCGAUAUCCAGCGCCUAUAUCUCUUAAUCAUUGAAUCAUCUCAAAAUAGAAAAAAAGAUCGCAGAUUCUUAAAUAUCCUUAGAGAGAGAAAAAAAGGAAGAGAGUGCGGAUAUGUCCAUAGAUCGACGAGUUUUUUCACGCUUUUCAUGACCAACCGCGACUGGAAAUCGAAUCUGGGAGACUUUCGCUUGUCGGACUUCUCUAUUAACAAUAAGCUACACAGAUCCUGGAAAGUUUAGCAAGAUUGACACUUGCAACUUGUACUUCCUCUAGACAUUUACAGGAUUUUACGUCAUGCCAUAUUUUUCUCGCAAAGUCACUGCUAAACGCGGUGAUAUCGCCUCGACGAAAAUCUUCCCGCGCCGCGCGCGCCGUGUAAAUCGAACGUUCGAUAACGGACGGUGGCGAGAGAAGGAGGAAGCGUGCGAGCGAACGAACAAACGAACGAACCAACGAGGAACGAUCUGGCAACAGCGCUGAGUCGCAGUGCCGGAAUUGAAUUUCAAGCGCCCGAGGGACAGAAGAGGGGGCGGACCGACUGGCGCGGCCCUUUCUCUUUUCUAUAGGGGGCACGAGGCGCAUAACGAUUAUCAUCCGACAUGCUCUACUGGAUGUUCCAAAAGAACAUGACCCAUUAGCCACGCUACAUCUUUAUCUUGCAAGCUGACAUGAUGGUGAAACUUGGCAAAUGCGCACACCGGCGUAUCUGAACGCAGCUGCGUAAGAUUCACCCUCCGAGAAUCGGUUCGAAGCGAUUGCCAGAAACAGUCGUGCGUUUCGUCGCGGGACAUUCGUUACAAAGUAUGCGCUUCUGGAAAGGGUUUGUAUACAACGACAUAGCUCCAACAUUUAUUGCUGCGUAUUAUUUAAUAAUUAAACGAACUUUUCUUAAACCUCCGACUCUUUUCAUUUUAAUUAUUAUCAAUGAUUAAUUAUAUGCAAAUAAAGACAAAAGGAGAAAUAAAAAGUUGCGGCAAUAAAGAGAAAAUAUUACAAAGAUUGUGUGUGUGUGUGUGUGUGCGUGCGUACGCGCAUGGCGUACGUAAGUAUAUUCUAUGUAUUUAACACUCGAAAACUUUACGUAUAUAUAUAAUCUUUAAAAAUAAA